CAGGGCAGGGUGGGCAUCUUGAAAGUCUUUCAGAAAUUCUAUUAAUCAUCUUCUCAUUAGUCCACAGAAUAGACAGAGAUUCCUCAAAGCAGAAUCUGCAUCUCCUGGAAAUGUUAUUGUAUGGCUUUGCAUGCCUUACUAUGGACCAA